rnacentral:rRNA from 1 species
UACGGAGGGAGCUAGCGUUGUUCGGAAUUACUGGGCGUAAAGCGCGCGUAGGCGGCUUUGUAAGUCAGAGGUGAAAUCCCGGAGCUCAACUCCGGAACUGCCUUUGAGACUGCAUCGCUUGAACCCGGGAGAGGUGAGUGGAAUUCCGAGUGUAGAGGUGAAAUUCGUAGAUAUUCGCAAGAACACCAGUGGCGAAGGCGGGUCUCUGGACAGUUCCUGACACUGAGGCACGAAGGCCAGGGGAGCAAACGGG